GGUAGGAAUCAAAUAGAGACGAGUCACCCGGGCCACAGGAAAGGGAAGUCCACAUAGGGUCCCAAGGCCCGCAGGAAGAGAUGGGGAGAGGGCUCAUUUCCCUUCUCCACCUCCUGAGCCCUCCUUUCCCCUGGGCUGAUGCAGCUACUCCUCAGGCUGCAGGGGCCUGCAGUAGCAGGGGUAUAGCAUCCUCCUUAGGAAUGGUAGUUGGGUGAGAUGUGAGUGCAACCUUUGAGUAACCCUGGGAGCACCGUGUGUGCCCCUGAAGGUGGCAGUGGGUGACAUCUUUUCUCAGUUAUCGCUGGAGACCUAGCCAGAUCCCCCUCUUCACUUAAGAGUAACCGUGUCAGGUUUUCAACCUUCAAAAGUAAUGAUCUUCCCUACCCCUGUGUUCAUCAAUCAGAGAGGAGCUGAUUGACAAGAAAACUGAGAACGCCGUGUCUAGGAUGCAGUCUGUGAUCGAGCUUGGAAGAGUGAUACGAGACCGAAAAACUAUUCCAAUAAAGGUGUGAAAUUGUCUUCUUAUAUCGAAGUGACCCAGACCUGUGUCUUGGGAAAUUUUAGCUUAGACUUUGCAGCAGUGGUGUAAUUCUUUGUCCUUUUCUGUGGUAAGGUAUGAAUGGCCUGGAGCUAGCUUAGCUAAAUAGUAACCAGACAGAUGAGCGUUCAACAUUUUGCCGUUUGGGGAAACUGACCCUUAGUUCAUUUCCACUCCCUUCCUUCUAGUAUCCUCUGAAGGAAAUUGUGGUCAUCCACCAAGACCCAGAAGCUCUAGAGGAUAUCAGGUCCUUGGAGAAGUAUAUCAUUGAGGUAAGUGAGGCUCAGCCCAGUCAGAAUUUUCUGUUUCCUAGAAAAUUAUUCUUUGGUAAAUUGCUACAUGCAUAACCAUCCAUGAAAUUGU
rnacentral:lncRNA from 1 species